AUCGGAUUCAGAACGCUUCCUUUUCAGAUUAUCCUCAUCUUCUUGUUGCUUCAAUUGUUUUGCUUUUUGCCGAAACGACUUUUCCUUUUCUUGACGUCGCUUAACAACCUGAAUGUUUUCAAUAGCAAAUUCGACAAUUAGACGACGAGGACGAUCAUUGUAAUCGAUAUUUGGUAGCUGCGGCUCAGGAAUUUUAUGCUUUCGCGCCCACUCAAUUUCUGCAUCUAUUAUUUUUUUAACAGUAAUUUCCCGUCCAUUCAGCCAGCGUAAAGCCAUAAGUGCAUAUUUAUGAGAAAUAAAUUGCAUGAAACCAAAACCCUUUGAUCUUCCAGCACCAGCCUUCUCAGUUUCUACCUUAGCUUGCUUAAGUACACCACCACUUUUCCCCCUUUUAAGUCUGUGUCCCUUGUCAAGAUUCUCUUCCUCUUCAGUUAUGUUAGCUCGUAAUCCUUUCGAAACGUCGUCCAUAAAUCCACGAAUAGCUUGUCUACCCAGCAUUGCUAAAAUUUUAGGAUCAAUGUGUCUAGAAAUAUUACGAAUAGAGAGACGAUUAAGAGAAAGAUGUAAGGUGGGAUUUUUCUCCAAUAAUUUUUUACGUUGGGCGAUAGACUGACUUCUUAACGUUUUGUCAGUCUCAGAUAAACUGUUAAACAAAGGAUGAUCGGCAGCAAUUUUACCUUCAUUGAGAAGAAAUAGAUGACGCCUAUCAACACCUUUCCCCAUUUUUUGCUUUCUCUCUUGUAAACUUUUUUGAUUAAUGUCCGAAGCCUCUUUUCGUGUAACAGCGCUCGUAACUUUCAACAAACGACCAUGUAGAAGGAAACGAGAACUUACGCUGUCAGUAUCAAUUCCCUCAUCUACUAAAACUGAUGGAAGAAAACGUUUUUCAGCCUCAGUAGGCUCUUGUGUAGGUAACUGAGAAGCCAUUUCAAGACAAUUUUGACAAUCCUUUUCAUAACGGAACUUAAUAAAACCCCUUCCCAAUGAACGAUCAGUAGCAGGAUCCUUAACUAGCUUAGCGUAUGCAAGCGGCCCAAAUUGACGAAAGUGAUUAUACAAUUCUUGUUCCGUACACUCAAACAAAAGGUUGCGAACAAACACAGUGUCCUCCAAUCCUUCAUUGUCCCGAAUUUCAUGAUUUAUAGAAUUUUUGUCAGAAGAUGAAUCACCAGAAUCCUCUACAUCGUCGACAUUGCUACCCUCUUCUUCACUUUCCCCCGCCAAUUCUUUACCCUCCGAAUGCCCAUCCACUUCCUCCUCAGAUUCUGAGUCCGCAGAAGCAUCUUCAGUUACAAUUGAGUGUCCUUCAUCAGAUACAAAUUCUUUGUUUUCCUCCUCAGAAGAUGCAUCCUUUAAUGUAGUAGCUUCGAAUGCAUCUUUACUAACUGCCCAGUCAACGGCAAUAGGACGACCAUCAAUUUCUGUCCCAUUUAGAGAAUUCAUGGCUUCCUCAGCAGCUUUACGAUCUUUCAUCCAGACAAAGGCGAAGCCGCACAUACGACCUCCACCCUUUGUAGGGAUUUUAAUUUCACGAACUUUACCAAACUUUGAAAAAUGAGGCUCCAAAUGUUGUGGCUUUUUAAUUGACCAAGGAAGAUUUCGGAUAAUUAGACGAGGUCGAUUAUCCUGCCUAAUUGUCUUCUUAACAGCCUUAUUCUGGUCUGUGUCUACCUCCGAUCGUUUACGGGGAGUAGCGAAAUCCAAUCGAAGAAUUCUUCCAUGUAAUUUUUUAUUUUUCAACUCCUUAGCUGCUCUUUGAGCAUCUUCAAGCAUUGAAAAUGUUACAAAUCCAUAUCCUCGAUUUUCACCUGUUUCCGGAUUAGUAACCACUACUGCAUGCUUGAUAGGUCCGACAUCGGAAAAGAAGUUUGUUAAAUCAUCUUGCUUUGUCUGGAAGGCAAGAUU